UAAAGAGGAUGCAUUUAUUCAAAGCCAAAAUUAAGAAUUUUUUUAUGUAAUAUAACAAAAAAUCUGUUAGACUGAUCUUUUAUAUUCACAAAUGGAACUAUUGUGAAAAUUUAUUAUAGUCUUUAACAUUACAGUCAGUGAGGCGUAAUUGGAAAUUUUUUUUGCUGAUGCGUAUAUUUGUCUUAGUCCACACCAGAAAAUGUCUCUUCCAAUGUAAGGAGAAAUCAAUAAUAUGUUAGUGUGUUUUCACAUGAUAUGCUUCCAUUUAUUGGUGCAGAUUCACCGUACUGAACUCCAAAUGCCAUACCGCCUUCGUGUUGAAUGCUCAAGCUUGACUACUCAGAGGCAGACCUCUGACAGCUAAUCAGAUGCCAGGUUGAGACAGCCUUGUCAGUGAGCUAAUAGAGUGUUCUGAGGUUAAUUUACAACCAUAUGAAUUCCAUCAAUAAGCAAUUAAGAGAUGUGGAAACACAGAGGCACCAAGGCCAAUGCAGCUAAAUCCCCAUGCAACCCCCCACUUACUUUUAAUCAAUUAAUUGCUAUAGCAUGUCUGUUUAAAAGAAUUUGAUAGAUUUGCAGAUACAUUUUGCACUUUAACAAAGCACUGUUCUCCCGUGCGGCCAGUUUAUAUGACCAAAUCGUUUUUAAAGCUUGAAGUUUUGAUGAUGUGCCAUUCUCACUUCACGGCUUUUUUAAUACAGUGGCUUACACAAAACCUUUUGGCUGAUUAAAGAGGGAGAUAAUGUGUUAAUAAUGUCUACAGCUGGGAGAAAAAAAAACCUGAGAAAAAAAUGUAGAAAUUUAGAGCAUGUGAAUGAUUGUGUCAUCAUCUGAGAAGUGCCUUGGACAGUCAGUAGUCUUCAUCAAUGUUUGUGUAGCUGGCCAUUAUUUACUCCAGUGCUAUCAGUUGAAACUUGUUUUCUAGUAUUUUGUUUCAAACCACAGCAGUUCAAGCUCACAUUGAAGCUGCUGUAGAAGAACCAGAGCACAGCAUGCUCAGCAGCACAGAUGUGGGGGAUUUUCAUUCAUCACCCUUUCACUCCCCUUCUUUCUGUUCUCUUCUCUAAUGCUGUGAAGUGUUGAUUAUGUUUUUUACCGUUUGCACCACAUAUUUGACAUAUUUGCUAGGAUCCCUGGAAAGAUUCAGUACACUCGGUACAAUCAUCAGUAACGCGGUAAUUACAAUGCAUUCUUAAACCCAGAAUCAAGAUGUGGGUUUCCUAAAAAUUCAAAUUGCGAGAAGCCUGAAAAAAGAUCCAGCAUCCACAUAUAUUACGUCAUUUAUGGACUCAGCUUUGCGGGCAUUCUAUGAGCAGAGAGGAUGCAGCGGUAAUGACUCAAAUACUCCAGCUGUGUCCUGCGCGCGGCCGAUGUUAUAUUCACAAAAUCGCUCCACCAAAACUAAGUAAUUCAUUUGCGAUCGUUCAUAUCAGCCCAUAUUCUCUGGUACUUCACGUACUUUUCAGCUGAGUUCAUAAUCUGUGCCCCGGUGAUUUCAACUCAUUGCUGCUGGAGUGCAGUGCCUAUUGAGCUUUUUUUUUUUUUUUUGCGUUCAGUAGAUCCCUUUGGCUGAUUAGUUAGAAAGUAGGAAGUCUAGGAAUCAGUUUUUCUGGAAGACGGAGAAAACAUGCAGCAUGCAGGAAGGUUAGAGAGAGAAAGGGCAGGAAAUUAUUCAAAUAAAAUCAAGAAAAAAAAACUAUGUGCUUGAAAAGAAAAAAAAGUAGGUAGAUUUUAGGGAUGCACCGAUGGAUCGGCAUUUGAUCGUAAUCGGCCGAUAGCGCCCCUAUCGGUUUUGAUCGGAAUUUUCAAAAUAGAUCAAAGCAAACCGAUCAGGUAGGGUUGUCACGGUAACCAGUGUAGCGCUAAACCCCGGUAAAAAAACAAAGUUGACAAUAAUAACCGUCUUGUUUUUAAAAAAACUAUAUUAUCUUGGUGGGUUUACCGUGGCUGCGGUGUAGGCGCGGUGACCCUUACCAGCCACCGUAUCAUCUGCUGAAGUUGCCGGCGGUACAUGCACGCUUUGCUGUUUACAACUAGAGCUGAAACAACUAAUCGAUUUAAUCGAUUAUAAUCGAUUAUUAAAAUAGUUAACAACUUUUUUAGUCAUCGAUUAGUUGUUUAAUAAUCAUAUUUUACCGCAUAAAGUCUAUUUUUUACCACAAUCUGACAUCGGUUACAAUCUGUUAAAUUUGCCGCCAGUGUGUGGCAGUAAUGAGCCACUGAUCUACCAGUGGGGCCGUAGAAGAAGAAAUUAGCCAAUAAGUGCCCUCGAUUUUCAUGACGUAUCACGUUACUGACGCGCAUCUUGCUGUGAGAGAUGGCGGAUCAACAACAAAUACGGAAGAAAAAUAGAAGCGACAAAACAAGAAAAACCCCGGACAAAAACCUCACGAGUAUGGGAGCACUUCACUAGAUGCCUUGAAAAGACCGGUGACCUACAAAAUAUGCAAAAACCAUGGCACGACGGAAGCACGACGUCCCUAAGUGAACAUUUGAGACGAAAACGUGGGGGCUGAUGCAGCAGAGGAAUGUCCGAAAAAAACAAGCAACGAUGGACAACUACAUGGGGAACAAGACACUCACCCCCAGCAAUGCAUACCACUUACAAACUCUAUUCCAGAUUCUACAUUAUUUUUUAUGGAAUUUACCUCUUAUAUUUUGAUGCCAAAAAAUUAUUCUGGACUGAUAUUUUGCACUGUUUAGCUCAUUUUACACUGCUGACUGUGGUCAUGUGCAAUAAAAUAGAUUGCAGUCAACUGCACAAUUC